rnacentral:rRNA from 1 species
CAGCCGCCACGGGAAUACGAAGGGUGCAAGCGUUAAUCGGAAUUACUGGGCGUAAAGCGUGCGUAGGCGGUUUGUUAAGUCUGUUGUGAAAUCCCCGGGCUCAACCUGGGAAUGGCAAUGGAUACUGGCAAGCUAGAGUGUGUCAGAGGAUGGUGGAAUUCCCGGUGUAGCGGUGAAAUGCGUAGAGAUCGGGAGGAACAUCAGUGGCGAAGGCGGCCAUCUGGGACAUCACUGACGCUGAGGCACGAAAGCGUGGGGAGCAAACAGGAUUAGAUACCCCCGUAGUCCCUGUCUCUUAUAC